rnacentral:rRNA from 1 species
CAGUAGCCACGGUAAUACGUAGGGUGCGAGCGUUAAUCGGAAUUACUGGGCGUAAAGCGUGCGCAGGCGGUUCGUUAAGACAGAUGUGAAAUCCCCGGGCUUAACCUGGGAACUGCAUUUGUGACUGGCGAGCUAGAGUAUGGCAGAGGGGGGUAGAAUUCCACGUGUAGCAGUGAAAUGCGUAGAGAUGUGGAGGAAUACCGAUGGCGAAGGCAGCCCCCUGGGCCAAUACUGACGCUCAUGCACGAAGGCGUGGGGAGCAAACAGGAUUAGAGACCCCAGUAGUCCCUGUCUCUUAUAC